rnacentral:rRNA from 1 species
CGAAAGCCUGACGGAGCAAGACCGCGUGAGGGAGGAAGGCUCUUGGGUUGUAAACCUCUUUUCUCAGGGAAGAAGCUCUGACGGUACCUGAGGAAUCAGCCUCGGCUAACUCCGUGCCAGCAGCCGCGGUAAUACGGAGGAGGCAAGCGUUAUCCGGAAUUAUUGAGCGUAAAGCGUCCGCAGGUGGCGAUUCAAGUCUGCUGUCAAAGCACGGGGCUUAACUCCGUUAAGGAAGUGGAAACUGAAUGGCUAGAGGGCCGUAGGGGUAGAGGGAAUUACCGGUGUAGCGGUGAAAUGCGUAGAGAUCGGGAAGAACAUCGGUGGCGAAAGCGCUCUACUGGGCCGCACCUGACCCUCAGGGACGAAAGCUAAGGUAGCG